rnacentral:rRNA from 1 species
UGGAAGCUGUGCGGCUGCCUUUACUUGCAUCUCGAACGGCAGCAUGAUCUAGCUUGCUAGAUUGAUGGCGAGUGGCGAACGGGUGAGUAAUACAUCGGAACGUGCCCUGUAGUGGGGGAUAACUAGUCGAAGGAUUAGCUAAUACCGCAUACGACCUGAGGGUGAAAGUGGGGGACCGCAAGGCCUCAUGCUAUAGGAGCGGCCGAUGUCUGAUUAGCUAGUUGGUGAGGUAAAGGCUCACCAAGGCGACGAUCAGUAGCUGGUCUGAGAGGACGAUCAGCCACACUGGGACUGAGACACGGCCCAGACUCCUACGGGAGGCAGCAGUGGGGAAUUUUGGACAAUGGGCGAAAGCCUGAUCCAGCAAUGCCGCGUGUGUGAAGAAAGCCUUCGGGUUGUAAAGCACUUUUGUCCGGAAAGAAAUGGCUCUGGUUAAUACCUGGGGUCGAUGACGGUACCGGAAGAAUAAGGACCGGCUAACUACGUGCCAGCAGCCGCGGUAAUACGUAGGGUCCAAGCGUUAAUCGGAAUUACUGGGCGUAAAGCGUGCGCAGGCGGUUGUGCAAGACCGAUGUGAAAUCCCCGAGCUUAACUUGGGAAUUGCAUUGGUGACUGCACGGCUAGAGUGUGUCAGAGGGGGGUAGAAUUCCACGUGUAGCAGUGAAAUGCGUAGAGAUGUGGAGGAAUACCGAU